UGGGUUAAUCAAGAAUUUCUUCCUAAACAUGGUUUUUCAAUAAGAAUGGCUUAUAACCUCAUUAAUAUAAGGCGCAUCAAAUUGCGUCAGAUGUUUUCUAUAUCUUUUCUUGAUAAUUCAAAAUUAACAUUUUUAGGCCUUCCACGAACAUGAGAUAUUUCUUUCAACUAGCAGUGAGACUCGUGCAUUGCACAAAUUUUUUUUUUAAAAAAAAGAGAAAAUAAAAAUAAUAAAAAGCUGUCCAAUUCGGUGACGAUUUUAUCAAAAUCGUCAUUGUUAAAAAUCAUCUACGAUGAUGAUGGUUUAAAAAAAAUGACGUUAAAGUCGAAAAUUUAAGAUACUUCUGGGAGAAUCAUCGUUGAAAUCGUUAAUUCAAAGAUCGUUUUUGAAAAACCAUAUUUGAAAGUGUGUUUUGGCUUUGUUUACUCACUGAUACUCAUCAGGACCUUUCCCUUUCCCGUUUCUUUGUGCGUCUUUGCCUAGCCAGGACCACCACAACUCUUCCCCACCGGUCACCGGCGCCAUUUCAGGGCUUUUUUCUUUUCCACUUCAAUGUUGACGACUGCGUUUUCAACACCCAAAACCCAUGUUGGAGAUGCUAUUAUUUGGGGGUGGGGGAUUUUCUCAGUUGUGAAACUUGUCUAAUUGAUGCUUGGAAAACUGUGCAGUUUGCUCAGGUUGUGAAAUGCGUUACCCUAAUUUCUGCAAGAAUCUUACUGUUAAAUAUUUAAGUUGUUUGUGCUACAUUCUAGUGAUCACUUAUUUGGCAUGUAAUUAGUGGAGUUCAUUAAUGCAAGUUUUCAAAUCUAUCAAUUAAGGACAAGUUGCUACGUAAAACAGCAGUGAGUGACUGAGUAUUAUUUUUCAUACACUA